CUCACAAUCCUCUGACUCUGGUGGAUCAGGCUUGCCCACAGAAGAAGAGGCACUUCCUCUAGAAUAUUUUCUGGUCCAAAGCAACUUUUUACGCUUUUGUUCUGUAAAAAAAAAAAGGGUAGGCUUUCUUGUGCUACUGUGUUCCUCCAUGGCUUCUCCACUGUGCUGCUGCAUCAGAGGAACCUGUGUGAUGUCACAACCGGAAGUAGGAGGAGCCAGUGAAAUCUGCAAUAAAUACGUUCGUUCGUUUGUUGCGCAGUUUGUGGGACCGAACGAGCUGAUCUAGAUCGUAGAAUUAUCCCUUCGUCUUUCUACGAAUUUUCUUGCUGCUAUCUACUAACAUAAUUUGCUACAUUAUCAACAUGCCAGCAGAAAAAUUUACCAACCCAGAAUUCCUGAGAGAAUUUAUUGAAUUGUACCGGGCCCUUCCUUGUCUCUGGAAAGUGAAAUCGGGAGAUUACAUGAAUAAAAUGAAACGAGAAAAGGCAUAUGAAGAAUUGGCAAACCUUUGCAAAUCAGUGUGCCCUAAAGCUGAUGUUCAAUUUGUGAAGACGAAAAUUUCCAAUGUAAGGACUGUUUAAAAAAGAAUUAAACAAAGUGCAAGCUUCCAAAAAAUCAGGUGCCUCAGCUGAUGACUUAUACUGUAUGUUCCGAAACUAUGGUACUAUGAUCUGCUACUGUUUACAGUGGAUCAGGAGUUGGCAAGGGACUCCAGGUCCAACUUUUCAAGUCAUGUUGAAUCAGAACUGACUCAGGCAAGCCAAUCAGAGGAUGUAACAGCCGUACAAGCGCAUGAUAUCACAGCUAAACAAGUACUUGAAGAACAAGGGGACCACACAGAACAUAUGUCCCAGGUAAGUUCAUAAAAAACACAAUGUAUACAUUUUAAAGAUUAUGUUUACUUUAUUUUAAAAUGAAUGCUGACACAAUUUAGGUACACAUUAACUGCUGAAGCAUAAAACCAUAGCUGAUAGCAUUUUAAAACCAUAGCUGAUUGCAAUUUUUAAACCAUAGCUGAUUGCCAAUCUACUGCGCCAGUGCCAUUGAAGAAAUCAACAUAUUUCUCUCUGCUUAAUUUGGCCUCAAUAGUAGCAUUUCAUGAUGUAGCAGCUUGCAGUUCCAAAAGUCCAUUUGGCUCACUUCGCCACUCGGCUGAUAUAACAGUUUGUUGAUCGAUGUCCUCUCUGUCCACCAUAUUUCCUGGCAAGCGCUGCUUGUGCGGCGUAGAAAGUUAUGUAGCACACAGCAGGCCAAAAGAACACUAUCAAUUUUUAUUGGGGAUAGAUUUAUGGCGGAAUGGAAAAUGCGAAAUCGAUUAGCUAGUAUGCCAAAAGCAUUUUCUACAACCCUUCUAGCUCGAGAAAGUAGAUAAUUGUAAAUUCUUCUUUCAGUUGACAAAUUUUUUUGUAGGAAAGGCUUUAAAACAUGUUUAUGUAAUGCAAAAGCUUCAUCUGCAACACAAACAUAAUUCAUCCCUUCUCUUGAAUCAGAAUUUGAUGGUAGGUGUAAUUGGUCAUUUUUGAGCUGCUGAUAAAAAAAAGGUUUGUUCCAUGGCUCCACCAUCUGAGACUCUUCCAUUUUUCCCCACAUCAACCAUUAAAAAUUUAUAUUUGGCAUUAACUAUUGCCAAAAGCACAAUGCUGAAAUACCCCUUGUAGUUAAAAUAAUAGGAGCCAGAACUGGAGGGAGGCUGGAUCCUCACAUGCUUUCCAUCAAUUGAUCCAAGACAGCUUGGAAAAUUCCAGUAAUCUUCAAAUUGUUUAGCUACUGCUUUCCACUCCACUUCAGUUGAGGGGAACUGCAACAAAAAAAGGGUAAAAAAUUAUAUUCAUUGUAAUUGAUAUGUUACAUUUCUCACACUUUUUUUAUUUUCACCGGCAUCACAACACACUAGCAGUACUAGUGCUUCCAGCUGUCAGGAUCAGCCCGGGACUUGAACUCUGGUGGUGCUGUUCUGGUCAUUUGCAGCACUUACCUCAUGAGCCAC